rnacentral:lncRNA from 1 species
AACAAAUUGUUGCUCCUUCUAUCUCCCCCAAUCAAGCACAACAAGUUAUGUAGAUAUUGCAUCUUGCAAGAUGAUUACUUACCAAACAAAAUGAACAACGAUGACACUAUACUUUAAGCAAGAUGAAUACUUCAAACAGAUUCAACAACACUAUUUAAGUACCAGUCCAUAGAUUAACCACACAUGCAGCAAGGUUUCUACAUUGGUUGCACUAGAUGUCCUCUCAGCUAACAGGCAUACAUUAAAUUAAAACUCCACCAUAAAGUACUACUGCAUAGUCUGACUAAGCCUGUAAACCAGCCAGGGUUAUGCAACUCAAUACCUACUGCAGAUCAGGCCUAGCAAUAUUGGACUGCAGAUCAGGCCUAGCAACAUUGGACUGCAGAUUAAUCACAUCGGAAAGGUGUUUGCUGAAAGCCCAUAUCUAUGGUGAUGGAGCUCAGCAUUUACAAGUCUGGAUCUCAUCUUGUACCAUGCCUAUCAACAUAUGCCU